AAAAAUGUGCCAUUCCACUGAAGUGUUUGACUUGGAAAACAAUAAUAGUUUUUUAUACACCUUCAGAACAUUAAACAAGUUCGUAUCAUUGUUCUGGGCUAUUCCCAAGAUGUUGCUUUAACUAGAGCAUGGAGUAAGAAAUGACGUAAGGAAAGUUCUGGAAACACCGAGUGGCAACUUGUUUCCAGUUUAUAUAAACACUGAACUUAACUUCUUGCUAGAGUAAUUCCACAACAAGAACUGAGAACAGGUUCACGCUAGAAGCUGAAAUUGAAGUUUUAUCUAACACUGUUUAGUUCCAGUUGAAUAAUGACUCAUCAUCGGCACUCAGGGCUUCUUGCUUUCGUCGUUUGCGUCUUUCUCAUCUUAUCGACCGUAAACUGUCAAGACCAAAAGGCGACAACAAAUGAGGGAUCCAGGACAGAACCAAAAAUGUUGCGGGCCCAUCUAAGCGGUGGUGCACAGCCUAGGUUUGCAGACUACCCUCUACUCUAUUCUCUAGGAAUACAGAGGCAUCGAUAAUCACAACAACGAUAUCAACCAGCGAUUCAUCUAAUCAUGUCUCACAAUUCCCUUGCCCUUAUACAGCAGGACUGUAAGGACAACCCUGCCAUCGUACCUAUAACCAAAGACUUAAUGCGGAGAGCACCACCAAGUUAUUAAAAUCCGGAUUAUGUUUUUAAGAUUUAUUAUUUAUAUUACGUACAUAAAAUGAUAUUAGUUGUAUCAAGUGCAAUAUGUUUAUUUGUCAAUAAAAGUUUUGUAAUGUG